UAGGGAAUCUUCGGCAAUGGACGGAAGUCUGACCGAGCAACGCCGCGUGAGUGAAGAAGGUUUUCGGAUCGUAAAGCUCUGUUGUUAGAGAAGAACGUUGGUAGGAGUGGAAAAUCUACCAAGUGACGGUAACUAACCAGAAAGGGACGGCUAACUACGUGCCAGCAGCCGCGGUAAUACGUAGGUCCCGAGCGUUGUCCGGAUUUAUUGGGCGUAAAGCGAGCGCAGGCGGUUCUUUAAGUCUGAAGUUAAAGGCAGUGGCUUAACCAUUGUACGCUUUGGAAACUGGAGGACUUGAGUGCAGAAGGGGAGAGUGGAAUUCCAUGUGUAGCGGUGAAAUGCGUAGAUAUAUGGAGGAACACCGGUGGCGAAAGCGGCUCUCUGGUCUGUAACUGACGCUGAGGCUCGAAAGCGUGGGGAGCAAACAGGAUUAGAUACCCUGGUAGUCCACGCCGUAAACGAUGAGUGCUAAGUGUUAGGGGGUUUCCGCCCCUUAGUGCUGCAGCUAACGCAUUAAGCACUCCGCCUGGGGAGUACGACCGCAAGGU
rnacentral:rRNA from 1 species